rnacentral:rRNA from 1 species
CUACGGGACGCUGCAGUGGGGAAUAUUGCGCAAUGGGGGAAACCCUGACGCAGCGACGCCGCGUGGAGGAUGAAGGUUUUCGGAUCGUAAACUCCUGUCAAAAGGGAAGAAAUGCAUUCUGGCUAAUACUCAGAGUGUUUGACGGUACCUUUAGAGGAAGCACCGGCUAAUUCCGUGCCAGCAGCCGCGGUAAUACGGAAGGUGCAAGCGUUAAUCGGAAUCACUGGGCGUAAAGCGCACGUAGGUUGCUUUGUAAGUCAGGUGUGAAAGCCCACGGCUCAACCGUGGAAUUGCACUUGAUACUGCAUUGCUAGAGUUCGGGAGAGGGUAGUGGAAUUCCUGGUGUAGGAGUGAAAUCCGUAGAGAUCAGGAGGAACACCGGUGGCGAAGGCGACUACCUGGACCGAUACUGACACUGAGGUGCGAAAGCGUGGGGAGCAAACAGGAUUAGAUACCCGUGUAGUC